AUUCACAGUCAAUUCAGAGAAACAGGAAGGAGUGAUUUAUUUACACUCUUAAGGAGUGAUUUAUCCACCUACUGUAGACAUUUAGUUUCAGAUUACAAGUCCUAGAAGAGCCCACUAAAUACAACAAAACCCAAGAACUUGUUAAUGUGCAGCCACCCUGAAAGUAAGACAAACUUCACUCUGUAUGUUUUGUCAUAUCUAAGCACAAAUCAACUUCCAAGUGAAAAUAGAAGAGGCACCCUACCCUGCAGUGGAGCAUUGAGCUUGACCCUCUUUGGAAAAAGUCACCAGGAAGCUGCUUGAAAAAGCAUCUAAAACUUCUGGUCAACUAGCUGGAACAUCCAUCCCUCACAGUCUUUACAAUAUUAACAUAAAUCUUGGGAUUAUUUCAGCAAUACAGAACCAUACUGGUGUCACUUCAAUCAGGUAAGAAAAUGGGACAGAAAAGUCACGGAACAAGCAGCACACAGUCAAUGCAAGUCAGAAAUACAACUCAGGGCUGCCAGUUAUGGACUAACUGUCAUUGAAAAGUGGGAAGCAAACAUGAACCACAGAGUGCUAACUCUGGCUAGAUUGUAAUAUUAAACAUAUAAAUGUCAUGGAAUGAACAACACGUGGAAAAAUUCUACUUUGUUUCUCUACGCUUAUUUUUGAACAGAAAGGAAAAAAAAAAAAAAAAAA